UACGACUACAUAUCAGGCAUAUCAAUAAGCGGAGGAAAAGAAACUAACAAGGAUUCCCUUAGUAACGGCGAGUGAAGCGGGAAGAGCUCAAAUUUGAAAUCUUCAAGGUUUUACCUUGACGAAUUGUAGUUUAAAGAAGUGUUUUCUGUUGAAGUUUCGGUAAAAGUUCUUUGGAAUAGGACAUCAUAGAGGGUGAGAAUCCCGUAUUUGACCAUUACUUCCAGCGUUGUGAUACACUUUCAAAGAGUCGGAUUGUUUGGGAAUGCAGUCCAAAAUGGGUGGUAAAUUUCAUCUAAAGCUAAAUAUUGGCGAGAGACCGAUAGCGAACAAGUACCGUGAGGGAAAGAUGAAAAGAACUUUGAAAAGAGAGUUAAACAGUACGUGAAAUUGUCAAAAGGGAAGCGUUUGACACCAGUGUUGUUUUCUCGAAAAUCAAUUAAAAAGUAUGGGAUUUUGUAUUGUUAAUGACCUUAUCAGCUUACGGUACUUUUUUCUUAUUCUCUUUUAAUGCACUUUUCGUCUAACAAGUCAACAUCAAUUUCUUUUGUUGUAAAAGAGUCAUUGGAAGGUGGCUUUCACUUCGGUGAAAGUGUUUAUAGCCUUUGGCUUCUGCAAUCGGAGAGAUUGAGGUCUGCAGCGUAGAUCCUUCGGGGUUAGAUACGUUAGAUGCUAAGUUAUAGCUUUUUCAUAGACAACAUGUUGACUAUGAUUAAUCAUGUAGCUUACUCGCUUAUGCUAUUUUACCUACGCUUAGGAUGUUGAUCUCUCACAGUCGAGC
rnacentral:rRNA from 1 species